UGGGGACACCCGCCCAGUCAGGCCUAACACAUGCAAGUCUAGGCCUUGUACACACCGCCCAGUCAGGCCUAACACAUGCAAGUCUAGGCCUUGUACACUCCGCCCAGUCAGGACUAACACAUGCAAUUCUAGGCCUUUGACACUACCGCCCAACCAGGGCUACCAUCUGUAACUGGUCUGAUUGGAUCAUCCGUCACACUGGAACUGAGACACGGUCCAGACUCCUACGGGAGGCAGCAGUGGGGAAUAUUGGACAAUGGGCGAAAGCCUGUUCCAGUCAUGUCCGCGUGUGUGAAUAAUGUCUUCUGAUUG
rnacentral:rRNA from 1 species